GUGGGGAAUAUUGGACAAUGGGCGAAAGCCUGAUCCAGCCAUGCCGCGUGUGUGAAGAAGGUCUUCGGAUUGUAAAGCACUUUAAGUUGGGAGGAAGGGCAGUAAGUUAAUACCUUGCUGUUUUGACGUUACCAACAGAAUAAGCACCGGCUAACUUCGUGCCAGCAGCCGCGGUAAUACGAAGGGUGCAAGCGUUAAUCGGAAUUACUGGGCGUAAAGCGCGCGUAGGUGGUUCAGCAAGUUGAAGGUGAAAUCCCCGGGCUCAACCUGGGAACUGCCUCCAAAACUACUGGGCUAGAGUACGGUAGAGGGUAGUGGAAUUUCCUGUGUAGCGGUGAAAUGCGUAGAUAUAGGAAGGAACACCAGUGGCGAAGGCGACUACCUGGACUGAUACUGACACUGAGGUGCGAAAGCGUGGGGAGCAAACAGGAUUAGAAACCCCAGUAGUCC
rnacentral:rRNA from 1 species